UUAAAUCCUCUCAGAUCUCCAGAAGUGCAUGGGGUUUAGGGGUCAAUUUGGGAUUGCACCAAACAGAUGUAGCCACCAUCUUAUACUCUGUGCAAAAGAAAACAUCCAUGUCAUAUACAAUAGCUGGUGUUCAAUCUUUUAAAAAGCCUCUCUAUCAAGGCUUAAACAAGUGUUAUUAAUCAUUUGUUGGCACUUAAAAACCUCCAUAUUUGAACCAUCAUUAAAUCAACAAUUACAUAACGCUGAUGUAAUGAUGUACAGUCAGUUUAAGAUAAAUGUUAGUGUUGUCCUUGACUCCCCUUUUCAGCACUCACAUGCUCCCACAUGUAGAAAGCUACAAUAACGCUACAUUCAGAUCUCAGUAACGAAAUAAUGUGUGAGGUGAGCUCAGUCUUUACCCUGACCUGUUGGACCAGCCUGGGCUGCAGAGCCAGUUAUGUACACAGAUACCCUGUGAUUAGGACCUGGGGAACUGGUUCCUAACAACAGACUGAGUGACAGCAUGUAGAGGAAUAGCAACGUCAACUCCACCUUUCACACACUGACUAACUGGUGGUCCUGAACUCAAAAAGGACAAGUUUAAUUCAGUUUGGUUUUGGGGUGGGGAUGCUUUCGCUUUUUUUCAGGUUUUGCGACAUCCAGACCCUCAGCCAUCAAAACUGUCAAUUGAAACCAAUAGAAGCCAUACUUGUUUUUGUGUGUGAUUUACAUAGGGUGUUUGCUCUAAGUUCCACUUUUCAGUGUGUGUGAGAUUGAUAGUGAUAAAGGGAGGUGUGUGUGUAUCGCACCAGUCUCAGCAUGCUUUCUGUUGAUUCUGUGUAACUAUAAAGUGCCCUGCCUUAACAGAUCUGUGAUUCCAUAGAAGUUAAAUGAACUGUGAUAUUGUUGCACCUCCCUCCCUGUAUAGCUUGUACCUUACUGUCUUCUUCAUCUUCUCUCUCGCAGGUAUAACAGACUCUUACCUGACAGACAGUCUGGCCACCUGUGAUACUACUCAAAUUUAUAUUGAGAACCCAUGGUAUUGUGGUUCAUUUAUGUGAGCAUAAGAAACUGCCUAUGCAAACUCUCUGUACUGACUGAAUUCAAGCUCAGACACACCGGUAGGAUAGUCAAACUUUUGCCUGCCGACAGUACUUAGCACCUCUGAACAGUGUCGGAAGUCAAUCUGUUUUGUGUUCAAACAGCAAAGACCUUGGAAGGCGACAGCUUUUAUCCCCUCUAUACCUGCCUCCUACACAACAAACCCUGAGACAUACUGCAGGGUGUGAUAGUUGGUGUGGAUGAGGACAUAGCCUACUCCUGGCCAGUCUGCAGCUUAUGUGGGAGUGACUGCUUGGAGAUGGCACCCCAAAAGCUCUCCAGCAGAGCACCAUCUUGCCUGUGUGUUACUCUGCAGCCUCUGGCCAUGAGGGGAGUUCUCUCUCGCUCACCUGUUAUGUAAUAUACGGUUGCAAGAUGGAGAAUGUGUUGGGGGGAGGGAGGUGGGCCCCAUCAACGCUUACAUCCAUGUGGUCACCAGGAAACCAGCCCUGUGCAUCGGUCUGGAAGACAUCUGCCUCUGAGGCUGUCAAAGUGGGGAGUGGGACCCCAUGAAAUAAAUCUGUAAGACUGAGGCCUCCUCAGCCCAGCCCCACAAGCUCUCUCUGUACAGAAUGUGAAUAAUUGGUGAAGAAAUAGAUCUGUUUGUGUGUUACUGAUGGGUUAGGACCCAGGAGCUGACAGCCCAAGGCUAGAACUGACAGACCAGAGAGGAACAACAUAUGUCGAACUUGGCCCACGUCGGUCCAACUGGUGACUGUAAAAUAUGCCUGUUUGCUGUAAAUAGCCACACGUUUCUCUGUGUUUCCUUGAAUAUCUACCUCCUAAUAUAUUUCUGAAGAUGAAUGGUACUUAUACUCUGUCAAUAAACAUUGUAUUAUGCUAG